CGAACCCAAGGCAAGGCGGGAC
rnacentral:rRNA from 1 species